GUGAUUAUUUAUCUUUUAUAAACUAAAUCAUAUAAGGCAUAACUGAAAAAUAAUGUUUCUUUCUAAAUAUCAAAUAGUUUUCGUGGUAAUAGUAAAAAAUGUGAAAAAAAUUGUAAAAUUUGUCAUUUUAUAUUGGCAAUAAGGUACAACAUCAAAUGUUCAAUGUAGGAUAAACUAGAUGUGUCAAAGAGACAAGAAUGGUCCCGUCUCAAAAAGUUGGAAAAUCUGCAAUUUCAAUAACACAUGUGGACACACACAUGAUGGUAGUCUCUCAUAUCAAAAAUCAGCUCAACAUCUGGAGGCAUAAAGAAAAAAAAUCCGUAUAACUGUGAUUU
rnacentral:lncRNA from 1 species